rnacentral:lncRNA from 1 species
AUAUGCUCCCUUUCUCCUUUCACCAUUCAGGUCUUCCAGUCGCAGAGCACCUACAUGGAGCCCCGAAGAAGAGGCUCAUCUUCGGGAGCUGUACCUCGCCAAUAAGGACGUGGAAGGGCAGGAUGUGGUGGAAGCCAUCUUGGCCCACCUGAAUACUGUUCCUCGAACACGCAAGCAGAUCAUCCACCAUCUGGUACAGAUGGGACUGGCUGACAGUGUCAAGGACUUCCAAAGGUAGAGAGGCACAUGCUCUGGAGGCUAUUGGGAUGGGGACUCGUGAUCACUUCCUGGGCUUCCUCUUCCACUGACACCUUCCUAAUCAGGAAAGGAACCCAUAUUGUACUGUGGACGGGGGAUCAGGAGUUGGAGCUGCAGCGGCUUUUUGAGGAAUUCCGGGACUCAGAUGGUGAGUAAGCUGGAAACUCAGGGGACCUUUGAGAUGAAAGCCAAGCUAUCCAUUUAUUUUGGGGCUGCCUUUUAUUCCCAAGGAAAGAUUCUCCCAUCCCUUCUGUUCACUUACUAUAUUUGUAAGUGUCAUUUUUGGAUGAAUUGAGGUACCCUCUUUCCAGAGACCUCUGAUU